GGGUGGACCUGAGCAGCUUGGGCAUCUUUCCAAGGAGACAUAAACAGGCCUCAGCUUUCAGCCUUCUGCAUAACUGGCUGUGAGGUCAGUGCUUUCAGUUUCUCGUCUAUACUUGCUGUAGUUUUCUUCACAGGCCGUGGGCUUCCUUGUUGAGUACGAGGCUCUGGGAUUAAGGCUGAGGAAGGGACCAGAGUCUCCUGAGCAAAGUGACUAUUUUGGGUGCCGUUACAAUGGGCGUCUUCUAGUUGCAGUUGUAAAGUAGUAACGGGAGAUGGGUUGAGGGUGGAGCCGUGGGAUACGGGAGAUGCGAAAUGAAGAGACUUCGCGACAUUGCAGACGGAGAUGCUAAUAUUUUUUGUUUUCCCCCCACUCUGCUGGGUUUAGUACCAAGGAAAAAGAAGUCAAGCCUCAGAGUCUACUGCCUUCAUGCAAUGGAAAGAGAGUGAAAGCAACGAGGCUGUGACCAUUGUUGAUGCCAGGCAAGAGCCCUCCAUCUGGGAGCUGAGCAAUUGCCAGUCUCGGUGAGAUAAGUGUCUGGUUUGGUGAGGGCUCUGCUCACGCCCCACCUGAGUCAGAGUAGGGAAGCCCCAUAAGUUAGCGUUCGGUUUGUAAGAAAAGGUUUCUGAUCAGCUGUGGUUACGAGGGAGAAAAGGUCCCCAUUUUCGGAGGCUGCUCAUUUCUCUGGUUAAGAACGGUGUCUCCUCCGCAGCAGAAGGUUGGAUCCAAGAGGAUGACUCCAGGUGCUACUCUCAUAGAGGAAUUGUCCAGGAGUCCUAGCCAGAGAAGUGGCCGAGGUGUACCUAAGCAGCUUGGACAUCUUUCUAAGCAGACAUGAAGAGUCGUCAGCUUUCUGUCUCCCGCAUAACUGGCUGUGAGUAAGGGGUCAGUGCUCUGAAUUCCUCAUCUGUGCUCGCUGCAGUAUUCUUCAGAGGCCGUGUGCUUACUCUUUGUUUGCGGGGCUCUGUGAGAUUAUGGCUGAUGAGGGGCCAGAGUCUGCUGUGGAGAGUGAUUAUUUUGGGUGCCGUUCCAAGGGGUGCUUUCUAGUUGUAGUACUAAAGGCCUAAUGAGGGGAAGGUUGCGGCGGAAUGCUGCCAUGCGGGAGGGGAGAAAAGAAUAGCCUACGCGAUGUUGCCCACUGAGAUGGUAACUUAUUUCUUUUUCCUCCUUGGUCUGGGUUUAGUACAAAGAGUUUCCUCCCCUCAUUGGAUGGAAAGCGAGCGAGAGCAGUGAGCCCACGAGCAUUGUUAAUGCAAGCCAGGAGUUGUCCAGUUGGCAGUGGAGCAGUCGCUAAUGUCAGUGAGAUAAGUGUCUGGUUUGGUUAAGGCAUUGCUCACGGCCCGCCUGGCUCCAGGUAGGGACGCCCUGUUAGCUGGGGCUGGGUUUGUAAGAAAUUGUUCCUGAUCAGCUGUGGUUACGAGAGAGACAAGGUCCCCAUUUUCAGGGGCUGCUCAUUUCUCUGGCCAGGAACGCUGUCUCCUCCGCAGCAGAAGGUUGCACCUAGGAGGAUGACUCCAGCUGGUGAGUUGCUUGCCUUCCUCCCAUGUUUUUCUCUCUUCUCCAGUGUGUUGGCCAACUUUCUCAGUCUCUCUCUCCUCUCCUCUCCUGGUGCUGUCUCCCUUUGUAGGACAGGGGUACGUGUGCGUUCCAAGAGGUGAGGUCUCGGGAGCCAUGGAGAAGUCGGAGCGGAUGAAAAUCACGCAGGGCAGUAGAAAGGCUGCUGAAAGUACCUGAAGAGACAAAGGAACUGAGAAGGGGGAAGUCCAGGGCUGAGUCCAGACUAAGACAGGAGUCUAGUCUGUAAAGAGAAACAACUGGAAGUCUAAGCUGCAGAAACUCUUCACCUUGCCUAAAGAUAUUUAGGAUGGGAAAUUACUUCUUGAGUCCAGUCUCUUUAAGAUCUUAGGCUUAGUAUGCGUGUGUAUUUGUAUUUGCUUAGUAAUCUGACUUCUUCUGUUUGCUGUCCCUUAUAAUCACUUAAAAUCUACCUUUUAUAGUUAAACUAUUUUGUGUUUAUUAUUAUUGUUAAACCCACUUUGUGCAACUUUGAACGGGGGAGGGGGAGGUCAAGAAGUUGUGCAUAUCUUCCUCCACAUUGAAUUUAUGAGCUUACGUUGUAUAGAUUUUGCUACAGCUCAAGACAGUAUUAUUUUGGGUGUACUUUCCAGAGGGGAACUGCAUUUGAGUGCUGGGCGAUUUCCUAGCGGAGUCUUCUUGUAGGGAGCUGUUUUCAGACUCCGUGUGAUUCUACAGGUGCUGCGUCCCUCCUUAUGUGUGUGUGCUGCCAAAGGCUGGAGAGCCUAAGUGAGCAAAACACGGAGAGGGAGUCCAGGCUAGUGGAGCAGUCAGGCUCAGUGAAAUCCCAGUACAUCAGGUGGCAUCCCAGCAGGGGGUCAAACCUCUCCCAGGGUGGGGCCCCUGAGAAAAGACCUUUGCAUCUAACUGGGGCACGAUAAACGUGGGGGAAUCCUUUGUUGCCCUCUCAAGGAAUUGUCAGGUGCUAUGGAAUCUUCCUGAAGUCCAGUAACUUCGUGGAGAGCAACUUGACUGUAACAAGAGAUGCUUAGUCCUCAAGUGUCUCUUCCUUCUGUAUCACUGGGUGAGCUUCCCUGGUCAUGCCGGUCUUGUCCUCCUCUCUAAAGCAGGGCCACAUUCAGCAGAGGACGUGAGGAGGGGUCUGAGAGUAGCCCUCGGCCUGUGUCUGCACUCACCAGGUAGCACCACCCACGGCAUGUGGAGGGUCCUGGACUCUGCACAGCACUCCAGACUGACCUGCUACAGCUCAGGCUCCUGGGUCCUAACCACUGCGCUUACUGCCCCCAGAGGGCUCUCUCUGUACGUUACCCCCACUGGUCACCGGGUGUCACUCCUGCUCCAAGGCAGACUCCCCCUGCAUUACUCCAGAUGGCCACCGAAUGUCACAGCAGUGCUGUGAGAGAAAGGUUUUCUGCAUUACUUUGACAGGUCACCGUGUGUUACCAUUGCUCUGAGGGAAAUGUUUUGUGCAUAACUGGGAUUCAGCACCCAUCCUCAUUGUCCCUUCAUAAAGGAAAUGGUUUGUGCAUUAGUGGAUUGGCUACCCGGUGUCACUGUUCCUCGACGAAGGAAAUGCUUUGUGCAAUACCUGGAUUGACCACACGGUGUCAGUGUUGCUCCAUGAGGGAAAUUGUUUGUGUAUUACCCUGAGUGGCCACCCAGUGUCACUGUUGCUACGUGAGGGAAAUGCUUUGUGCAUUAGUGCAAGUGCCCACGUGGCGUCACAUUUGCUCCA